rnacentral:rRNA from 1 species
CGUGCUACCAUGCAGUCGACGAUGAUGAGUAGCUUGCUACUCUGAUUAGUGGCGCACGGGUGAGUAAUAUAUAGAUAACGUACCUCUUAGACUGGGAUAGCCAUUGGAAACGAUGAUUAAUACUAGAUACUCCUUCUAGCUCUAAUGCUAGUCGGGAAAGUUUUUUCGCUAAGAGAUCGGUCUAUAUCCUAUCAGUUAGUUGGUGAGGUAAUGGCUCACCAAGGCAAUGACAGGUAGCGGGUUUGAGAGGAUGAUCCGCCACACUGGUACUGAGACACGGACCAGACUCCUAUGGGAGGCAGCAGUGAGGAAUAUUGCACAAUGGGGGAAACCCUGAUGCAGCAACGCCGCGUGGAGGAUGACGCAUUUCGGUGUGUAAACUCCUUUUAUAUGUCAAGAAAAUGACGGUAGCAUAUGAAUAAGCACCGGCUAACUCCGUGCCAGCAGCCGCGGUAAUACGGAGGGUGCAAGCGUUAUUCGGAAUCACUGGGCGUAAAGGACGCGUAGGCGGGUUUGUAAGUCAGGUGUGAAAUCCUACAGCUUAACUGUAGAACUGCACUUGAAACUACUGACCUAGAGUAUGGGAGGGGGAGAUGGAAUUAGUGGUGUAGGGGUAAAAUCCGUAG